UUAUUGGAGAGUUUGAUCCUGGCUCAGAACGAACGCUGGCGGCGUGGUUUAGGCAUGCAAGUCGUACGAUCUUUGAUGAAUUUAUUUGAUCGCAAGAUUGAGUAAAUUUGUUAAAGAGAGUGGCAAAAGGGUGAGUAAUACGUAGGUAAUCAACCCUUAAGAUGCGGACAACCCUGUGAAAACGGGGCUAAUACGCAGUAAGACCACAACCUGAAACUUCAGGAUGAGGUUAAAGAUGGGGACCCGUAAGGGCCUGUCGCUUAAGGACGAGCCUGCGUCCUAUCAGCUAGUUGGUAGGGUAACGGCCUACCAAGGCAUUUGACGGGUAGCUGGUCUGA
rnacentral:rRNA from 1 species